UUUUUAGGAAAUUAAAAGAUACUAAUUGAUACCUAGAAAGGGGUGCUGCUUGGCUACCUAGCUGAGGAGAACCCAGACCUCAAGGACAGAUGGGCCUAGAGCAAGUUGGGAGCAGGGCUGUCCAACUCUUCUCUCUCUGGCAGCAUCUUAACCCAGCUGUGGCCCCUGGGAGGAUUUCAGGCCUCCUGCCCCAGAGGACUCCUGACCUGGGUUCUCAGGCCUCCACUGUGCUCAUCACAUUCCAUGUUGAAUAGAUGGCUUCUCUUGUCUCUUCUUCCAGAUCGGUGAUGAUGGAAGCCAGAAAGAGCAAGCCCAAACAGGGUGGAAAUGGCCACUGAGGCAUCAUUGGAACCAAUGCACUGCACACAAAGAAGUCAUGUGAGCACAUAGUGAGAUGGCAGCCACUUAUGAGCUAACUUCAAAGAGGCCUCAGGAUGACACCUACCCUGCC